CCUACGGGAGGCUGCAGUGGGGAAUAUUGCACAAUGGGCGCAAGCCUGAUGCAGCCAUGCCGCGUGUAUGAAGAAGGCCUUCGGGUUGUAAAGUACUUUCAGUCGUGAGGAAGGUGUUAAGGUUAAUAACCUUAGCAAUUGACGUUAGCGACAGAAGAAGCACCGGCUAACUCCGUGCCAGCAGCCGCGGUAAUACGGAGGGUGCGAGCGUUAAUCGGAAUUACUGGGCGUAAAGGGCACGCAGGCGGUUAAAUUAGUUUGAUGGGAAAUCCCCCGGCUUUACCUGGGGAUGGGCAUUCAGGCUGGUUUGCUUGGGUCUUUGAGAAGGGGGUAGAAUUCCAUGUGUAGCGGUUGAAUGCGUAGAGAUUUGGGGGAAUUCCGGUUGCCAAGGCGGCCCACCGGGACAAAGACGAACCGCAUUUGCGAAAGCGUUGGGAGCAAACAGGAUUAGAUACCCGGGUAGUC
rnacentral:rRNA from 1 species